GUUGACAGGGAUGAUCGGGAAGUGUAGGAUCAAACGGUUGACUCUUUCGGGGAGAAAAAAGCCCUGAAGAGAAAGACGCCCUGUGGAAACGCAGGGAGAGCGUCUCGGAUCAUUGACAACUAAAUAGGAGCAGCAACGUCCAAUUAAAGGGCCCUGAUCACGAAACACAGUAAUAAAAUGAAUCUGGAGAGUUUGAUCCUGGCUCAGAACGAACGCUGGCGGCGUUGCCUAACACAUGCAAGUCCAACGUGAAAGGGGAGCAAUCCCCCGGUAGGGUGGCAAACGGGUGAGUAAUACAUGGGUGAUCUACCUUAGGGAUGGGGAUAU
rnacentral:rRNA from 1 species